rnacentral:rRNA from 1 species
CCUACGGGGGGCAGCAGUGAGGAAUAUUGGUCAAUGGACGCAAGUCUGAACCAGCCAAGUCGCGUGCAGGAAGACGGCCCUAUGGGUUGUAAACUUCUUUUAUACGGGAGUAAAACGAGACACGUGUACCUUUCUGAAUGUACUUUAUGAAUAAGGAUCGGCUAACUCCGUGCCAGCAGCCGCGGUAAUACGGAGGAUCCGAGCGUUAUCCGGAUUUAUUGGGUUUAAAGGGAGCGUAGGUGGGUUGUUAAGUUAGUGGUGAAAGUCUGCGGCUCAACCGUAAAAUUGCAAUUGAUACUGGUAGGCUUGAGUACAGUUGAGGUAGGCGGAAUUCGUGGUGUAGCGGUGAAAUGCUUAGAUAUCACGAAGAACCCCGAUUGCGAAGGCAGCUUACUAAACUGUGACUGACAUUGAGGCUCGAAAGUGUGGGUAGCAAACAGGAUUAGAUACCCUUGUAGUC